rnacentral:misc_RNA from 1 species
GUGCUACCAUAUGCUUCUCUUUGAGCAUCACUACAGCCUCAGAAAAUUUCAUCACACAUGCAUCGGGUGCCUGGUAAAUUGAAGCUGAAGUGCCAAAGCAUGACUGGAGCAUUUCAGUGUGUAUCACUCCCGGAUUAAGUGCAAUAACUGCCAUCCCAUCAGGCAACUCUUUUGCAACUGAUCUGGUCAAACCCUCAACAGCCCAUUUAGAUGCACAAUAAGGCGCAACCAGGGCAGCACCGGAUCUUCCCCAUCCAGAAGAGAAGUUAACAAUAAUUCCUUG